rnacentral:rRNA from 1 species
UAGGGAAUCUUCCACAAUGGACGCAAGUCUGAUGGAGCAACGCCGCGUGAGUGAAGAAGGUUUUCGGACCGUAAAGCUCUGUUGUUGGUGAAGAAGGAUAGAGGUAGUAACUGGCCUUUAUUUGACGGUAAUCAACCAGAAAGUCACGGCUAACUACGUGCCAGCAGCCGCGGUAAUACGUAGGGUGGCAAGCGUUGUCCGGAUUUAUUGGGCGUAAAAGCGAGCGCAGGCGGAAGAAUAAGUCUGAUGUGAAAGCCCUCGGCUUAACCGAGGAAUUGCAUCGGAAACUGUUUUUCUUGAGUGCAGAAGAGGAGAGUAGAACUCCAUGUGUAGCGGUGGAAUGCGUAGAUAUAUGGAAGAAUACCAGUGGCGAAGGCGGCUCUCUGGUCUGCAACUGACGCUGAGGCUCGAAAGCAUGGGUAGCGAACAGGAUUAGAUACCCUUGG